rnacentral:lncRNA from 9 species
CCCCCUUGCGUCAACUUUCCUUAGCUUUUUCAAGGAACCCUCUCCACCCUCCGCCCCUUCUCAAAAGACUACUACCAACCAACAAACAAAACGCACGAUUAACUCUCAGCUACAACUCAGCUGACAUCCUUCCUGCACUCCCUCAGGCUCCAGGUGUCCCUCCGCUUUCCCAUAGGCUCUCACCUCUGCCUGAGGCAGGCGCGCGCCUUCCCCACCACGCACACCCCACAAGCCACUGGAUCCCUGCUAACAUCCACCCUCCCAGCACUCACCCCUUUGCCUUCCUUCCUCAGGUGCUUCCUCAGGAUUUUAAAGGGACCAACACCACCCUCUCCCCCUUCGCACAAAACCACCACCACCACAAAGCACAACAGACCAACAGACCCAAAAAUCAACCGAAAGAAAAAAAAAAAAAAAAAAACACCGCACUGUCACCUGUCAGCUGGAGCUCCCCUGACACCCUUACUGCACUCCCUCAGGCUCGCGGGGUCCCUCAGCAUUCCCUUCUGCUCUCCCCUCUGCCCCACCAGGCAAGCGGGGCCCCGCCCCCUCCACCCUCCCACCCUCACCCCUUCACCCCCCUUCCUGCCAUCUUUCCUCAGCUUUUUCAAGGGACCCUCUCCACCCUCUGCCCCUUCUCAAAAACUCUCCUCCCUGGAAGCUGUCAGCUGCAGCUCCACUGGCAGCCUGACCUCUCUCCCACCGCGCCUGCCAGCGUCCCUCAGCAAUCCCUUCCGCUCUCCUCUCUGCCCCACG